CAGCGGCAGCGCGGGCGCGGGGGCGGGGCGGGGCAGUGCGAGGAGGGGUAGGGGUGCGGGGGCGGAGAGUUGUGCCUGCGGAAGCUGACCGAGCUGGAGAAGCGGAAGGAGUUGAGGGGGCGGCUGAGGAUGGUCUAGGGGGUGGGCGGGCGGAGAAGUGGCGACCGCCUGCUGCGCCGCCAGUUCCUCCUCGACCUCGCCCGUUAGCUCUCCCCCUCCCUCGCCCUCGCCCGCGCCGCCCGCCUGGUGGCCGCCGACGCCGUCGCGGUCCAGUUCCGCCUCUGCCUCCGGACCCGCGCGCGGCGGCUCCUCAUGGCGGUCGAGCUCGCGCUCUACGAGCUGGCGGUGGAGCGGGGCGUCGACGGGAUGCAGUUCAGCGAGAAGGAGCCGACCAAGCUCGGCGACGCGCUGCGGCAGCGGUCCCUGGUCCUGCACGUCGCGGCGUUCGCCCAGUUCGUGCAGAUGCGGUUCAUGGACGAGGACGAGGGGCGGCUCUUCCAGCGGCAGUAGCAGUACGUGUUCUACUACCCGGAGGAGUACAGGUCGUUCCUGCCGACGCCGUCGCAGGCGCAGCAGGUCCGGCGCGUGAGGUAGCCGCUCCGGCAGCUCGCGCUCAUGUUUCAGGUCCGAAAGAAAGUCUUCUGAUCCUCUUUUUGAUCCUCGUUUUGACUUUCACUUUUACUAGGUCGUAAUCUGUUCCUUGUCCGUUUUACGGCCUUUGAACAAUUCUCAAACCACUCCUCCUCCUUUAACUGACUUCGUGUCUUCGAACACGUUGUCCUCUAACUUAACCUCCUCACCCCGUGUCUUCGGGUUCACUUCGAUCCUUGAGCGGACUAACUUGACAAUAACCUAAGCCGUAAACACGUCAGUGGUCGACUGGUUUGUGGACUGUCAAGAGGACUAAAAGCUGGACGUAAAUUCGUACAUAACGCUUUCGGAUAACAUCUUUUACCCUCUGAUUUCUUCUUCGUGAAGCACUAUCUCACACUAGGAGAACACGUACUCCCCAAACUUUCGUGACGAUCUGUGCACCUCUAUGGGAUAGAAGGAUACGAUCAUGGAGGAUGUUUUACCUUCCCGAUACUAUUUCCGCCUGUGGAAAAAGACGGAAGCAUACAAUACGCCUGUGUACCACACUUCCUGGUCUUCCUUCGGUAAUUCUCACAAGGUUCUUUUGUCGACGCUUUUCAUAAGCUCCGUAAUCUAUAGGAACCCCCAUGAUUUACCUCUCACUUAUCUGCUCAUGUACUGCAACAACUCUGAUAAACCUCAGCACCACCCCCAUAACGUCCUGAACAACUAUUCCCUUUAUAAGGAGAUGGACUUGUUGGACUUUGUCUUCUGGGUCUACUUUAGGUCUUUACCUUCACCUCGCAUUUCUUCUGUUUCUUUCGAUUGGCACUUGACGUACGACUCGCUACGCUAUGUCUUGAUUUUGAGAGACAACGAGCAUUUUACUCUCUCCUCCUACCGAAGAUAAUAGGAGUAUUAGAUCUAAAGGCACCAGCACGUAUGGGAUACGUAGGUGUAGACUCAGUGGAUCCAAGUCUAGAUACGGCUCCACAAGAUCUCAUACGACUUCCCGCCGGUGAGCCUUUUAGACCAAAUGCGACCAACUUCUAUGUAAACCGAUUGUUUAUACCGCCUCCGUAACUUUUCGAAAGAGUACUCUCGUUUGAUCGCAAACACCUCCUAGUAAACGGACUAUAUAAACUAAGUCGUAGUUUAGGACAACUACCCUUGACAACCACCUAAUUACGGCUCCUAGGUAAAGUUACAGAUCGACGUACGUACCUAGAAAGAUUCCGUAAUCUUUCAAGUAGUGGAGUACCACGACAGAGAGUGGAUGGAUAAGUAGUCCUACCAAGUACGUUACCCAAUGUUGUGAUACGGCGAGAACCUUCUCUGAUAUACCCGCGCCGUCGACAGUUGAACCAAGGACCUCUCUUUGGACGUCUAUAGAUGAGUCUUUAUCGACGAUCCCAUAACCUACAACAUGCCCUUCUGAGUUACUUUCUAGGACGAUGACUGGGUUCACAAGGUAAUCGUUUCCAAAAUCAACUACUCCACCUAUCCUUCGACCAGUUCGUCUGUCACUACUGCAGUCAAAUACCACAGUGUAAAUAGCCACGAGCGGUCGUUUAAUACUUCUCCGAAGUUCUCUUUCCUGUGUAAUGUCUACUGUUUAACGAGAUACUACACAGGACGAUACGAUGGUCCCAUUGAAACCUACGUGAUCCUGUUUACAAGGUUAGACGGGCACGAUAUUACCGUACCGAACCACUGACACGUUUCUACUAACGAAGUUUUUUAGUUGGUCAGUCUACCUGCUCAGGACAUCCAGAAGGUCAACACGUCGGUAUGUUCUUUAUAUUUUUGAUAUACUAUGCUUGAAGAAACGUUACAGACCGAAAUGCUGCCCUCCCACUACGUUAACGUUGGGUUGCCGUUUUCCGUCGAAAAGGUGGCUUAAAACAGGUAAGAGAACUAUCAAGUGUAUACUACUACUGCCGUUAAUGAACGUUCCUCCGACCAGAAGUAAAACGUCCACACGUACUGAGUAAAACCCACGUACGUACACUACAGCUAUUUUACUUAGUCUAGAACUCUCUCGUUAAGCACCUCGACAUGUCGUACGGUUAGGAACUUUUGCAUACGACAGUCUGACAUGGGAUACAGAAAAUUCGUUAGGUAUGAAACAAGAAGUCGACGUAGUCGUCUAAUAAGAGAUUACGAGAAAAAGAAUAUAAGUUAGGUCGAUAACCUUCUCAAAGUCUGUAAUAAAGGCUGUCAUCUCAAAGGAGGGACGGGUCGUGUCCCCUUAAAACUACACUCUCUUCAAGAGUGUAGAUGGAUAAAGAAGUUGAUUCGAGUGACCCUCUCAAUAUGCAUUGUACAGUGCUCAAGCCGCACCAACCUAUCGACUUAACGGACUAGUAAUAAGUGUUUAGUGUUGUGCUACCAGCACGCCGUCGGUUUCCGCCUACCCGGUACUUCCACUCACAACGUUUUAGAAACCGUAUUCUUCGUAAUGUCGUCGUUCGGUAACGUUGAGUCGGAACCCCGUGUGGACCUCUUCGGACCUACCAAAAAACCGUAUCCGCUUAGUUGAGCAGCUCGGGAUCUUCGGUACGGUUUACCAUUGUUCGGACUUGACUUGUUCGGAGUUCACCAACCACGACUACUAAAAAACCAACUGCGUUCUAGAUGUUCCUACACUUCAAGUUAAGUCCGCGACCGAUGGUAAUAAGUCCGGUUCCAUUUAAUACUUUAUUGCUCAAUAGUUGAACACUUCUCAGGUCAGAACGACUACGACGACGACUACGACUAGUUAAAAAGGUAUCUACUCUCAAGCAUGGGAUUAAAAUGACACAUAUGCAAAAAACUAGAGAAUCCUAAAAACAUCGGCUACCGGGACGUACGCGACGUGGUAGUGGAACAUUAUUACACAUCUUAGGCCCGUGGUUUGUCUUUGGUUUUUCACAUAUACUCUAGGUAUCUACGACAACUGUACUUUAUUUUUA
rnacentral:rRNA from 1 species